rnacentral:piRNA from 1 species
UUGAUUCGUGUGAGCAAACCCGGCGCCUU